rnacentral:piRNA from 1 species
UGAAUGCUCAAGGCAUCUUGCUUAUUGACUU